rnacentral:rRNA from 1 species
GAUAAACGCUGGCGGCGUGCCUAAUACAUGCAAGUCGAGCGGAAAGGCUCCUUCGGGAGUACUCGAGCGGCGGACGGCUGAGUAACACGUAGGAACGUACCCCAAAGUGAGGGAUAACUGCUCGAAAGAGUAGCUAAUACCGCAUGUGCUCUAAGGAGUAAAGCUUCGGCGCUUUGGGAACGGCCUGCGCCUGAUUAGCUUGUUGGUGAGGUAAAAGCUCACCGAGGCGACGAUCAGUAGCUGGUCUGAGAGGAUGAUCAGCCAGACUGGGACUGAGAACGGCCCAGACUCCUGCGGGAGGCAGCAGUAGGGAAUUUUCCACAAUGGGCGAAAGCCUGAUGGAGCAACGCCGCGUGCAGGAUGAAUGCCUUCGGGUUGUAAACUGCUUUUAUAUGUGACGAAUAUGACGGUAGCAUAUGAAUAAGGAUCGGCUAACUCCGUGCCAGCCGCCGCGGUAA